UCGUGAGCAAGAGGGCGAGGGGGAUCGUGUUAGGGGGAAGAAGAUGGACACGUCACUGGAUUGGGGAGUCGGGGCUCGUCGUCCUGUCGCUUCCCCGCCGGGGAUAGGGCACCGGCGGCUGCGGGUGAUGGCGCGCCACGGGGCAGGGAGCGCCCGGGGCGAACGUGCUAGGGUGCUUUGGCAUCGAGGGCGAUGCAGGGCAGGGAAACAGCCAACUUUGGGGGUAGUUUAUUCAAAAUUUUCAAGCUAGA
rnacentral:lncRNA from 1 species